rnacentral:rRNA from 1 species
GACGUAGGGCGCGAGCGUUGUCCGGAUUUAUUGGGCGUAAAGAGCUCGUAGGCGGCUUGUCGCGUCGUCCGUGAAAACUUGGGGCUCAACCCCAAGCUUGCGGUCGAUACGGGCAGGCUAGAGUUCGGUAGGGGAGACUGGAAUUCCUGGUGUAGCGGUGAAAUGCGCAGAUAUCAGGAGGAACACCGGUGGCGAAGGCGGGACUCUGGGCCGAUACUGACGCUGAGGAGCGAAAGCGUGGGGAGCGAACAGG